CCUGAGACCCCCACCCUGGCUGGCCAGCCAGACCACGGUGGUCAGGACUGUCCUGGUGGGCACGUGCUUGUUACACCUGUCCAACGGGGACCUGCCCGGGGCUACGUCGUUGCUGGAGCCCUGGGGACACCAGGCCAGGUGUGGACGGCUGCGGCAGAUGAAAGGCUGGGCCUCCCUGCCUCCCACUUGGGCCCACCCCGUUCCAGAAUCCCUGAACUGCGAACACAAGGAUGGGCUUUGCCUUGGAGUCACAUCUAUAAAGAUUUUUGGGAAAAAACCCAGCACGUUUAUUGGCAAAUUCCCACCAUUCAGGGAAGGCGGGUUGGCACGGGACGUGGCUGGAAAAUGACACGUUUGUGAAAUGUCUCCCAUAUGAGACCCUGCUGUCCAGGAACACUGCAUCUUCUGGGAAGGCCCAAAGCCAACGUAGCCGGAUGGUGUUCUUCUCUGCCCUUUGUCACGUCUGGAUUGCUUGUGUGGGGUGACCAGCCGGCCCAGACACGUCCCCAGUGAUGGUCAAGAAAUCGGGUUUCCAGUUCCUUGGGACCUGGGCGCUGCUCCCUACGGCUUCCCGUCCCUCCCCCAGAAGUGAGCACAGAUCGCAGACCACGGAGGACACGGGGAGAACGUGCCAUCCACUUGCCCAGCAGAGGCCCCGCAGGGAGGCCUGCAUCUCGGGCUUCAGCCCCUGGGACGGUGAGGAGUAAACUCACGUUUCUAGAGCCUCCUGGUUUGUGGUAUUUUUUUCGCGGCCCCUGAAGACUCAGUCAGGGGCUGGGUGGGGGGCAGGGCAGGCCCGCCUCACCUCUGCCUUGCAGGGUCCCUGGGGACAAGCCACCACUUCUCUGGUUUUCCUCCUUCGGCCCGACGACGGGACAAGUGCCCCGGGAAAGACCCGUAGCUGGUCUCUUCAAGAGCAGUGGGGUCCCGUCCAGUGGUCUGGAGGCCCCGUCACUGGCUGGCCCCUGCCCCUCCGUGGCCCGUGACUUCAUGGGACACGUACCGAGCCACACAGGUCCUCUGCCCUCGUCUUACAGGCACACUGGGUCGGCUCUCGGGUGCCAAUCUGCCUUCAGGAGACUCUGCACCAGGGGACCCGGAGCUCUCAUGGAGGGAACACUCCCACCCCAGCUGGCCGGCCGCGAGGGACGGUGCCCGAGCCACCAGCAGCCGGGCAUCCACCGUGGCUCCAGAUCCGCCCACUUGUGGCCCAGAGACAGGGUUUACAAAGAGUUGCUAGAGAGGAGGUCUGUGCCUCUGCAUCCCAAAACCCAAACGGUCACAGCCGCCGGCCUGCAGGGUUUUAGUGUCUUCUGGGUGGAUCAGGGCUCUGGUGGGGAGGCGUCAGCCUCUCUUUAGAGACCUCUGAGGACCUCGUUUACUGUCGCCUGGGUCUGGGCAGGUGUGACUUGGAAAUUCGCAAGGACCUUCCUGAGGAUGUGCGCACGUGGAGACUGACCAGCCAAUUCCCAGACCCUUGGUCUUUCCUGAAGCUGAUCUACCCGGGAGGGUUGGUGAAGGGAUAAAGGGUUUCCGUCCUUCUCUUUUACAAACUCUGUCCUCCCACUUCGCUCCCAACCUCUUAUCUGUCCCAAGUGCGGGCGCCCCGGGGUCUCGUGUGCAUCUGGGAAGGGGCGUGACGCGACAGCUGGGAGGCUCCUCCCUUCGUGUGUCAAGGAUUUGAAGUGUUUGCUUUCAACUCAGGAGAAAAAGAACUAACUGGGAUUUCUCCGGAAGGGCCCAUGGGUGAAGGAUUCCCUUCAUUCUUGUGUGUGGAGACGUGUUUUCCUGUGGCCUUGAUACUCAAGGGACCGCUUGGCUGGACAUAAAUUCUCACCUGUGCUCCCGCCCCCUCGGUUUUGGAGAAAUUCGACUCUGUGGUUGUCUCGUUUAGUCUGGCCAUGGUUGAAAGGCUUAAUCUAAUUCUUUGCCUUUUUAAUUUCUUUUGUUAAAAACAUGU